rnacentral:misc_RNA from 1 species
AAUUCAUCAACCCAAGGUCCUUGGAGUUUACUCUGAGGGCUUGAGGGUCGGAUCUGGGCCAUUUGCUGCUUUGGCAGCAAUAGCCUGAAAUUGAAUGUUACGCUCCUAUGGACUGUGAAGUCUUGGGCAAACGCAUGAAUGAGGUAACUCAGAAGUACGUGGGCCUUUGAGAACGAUCAAUUCUUAGUUGGGUGACUCAACUGAUUAACCAGAGUUUGCCGGCGCUAGCUUGCUUAUUCUGAAC